UGUGUGGGCAUUUUUCGUGAGAGCCUGUGCCUGGUAAGUAGCAGGGGCGAGUAGAAUGGUAGUCGGGCACACAAUCCAGGCUCUUCUCAGGAUCAACUCAGGACUGUGAGAGGCAAAUUGGCUCAUUUCCAAGUCAGCAAAGCUUUGAUCCUUAUUCGCCACUACCUCAUGAGCUCUUUGGCCUACAGGAAAGCAAUUAUCAAGGACACUCCCUCUUCAUCCCUGGAUUCUCUCGAGGAAUCCUUGCUGCUGGGCCUGUGAGGGAUUUUUAUUUCAGCACAUGCUCGGGAUCAACUCCGUUUGUAGGAACCAGGUGUUUCAAGUUGACGUAGGGCUGUUGAGUGGCUGCGCCAGCUAGCACUGCUCCUAAAGUUUUGGAAAUCCUUUUCCUUGAAAGAGAAGGAGAAGUAGCAAGUGCCACCGCAAGCAUCACCUGGUUUAGCUUCGUUUUUAGAUCGAGUUUCCAAGAGUUUGAGGGCCGGUCUCAACGAUGCUGUGCUGGGAUGCUGUGCCAGGUAACCUGAUGCUGGCAUAGGAGCAGCACUUGUGGCUGCAGCUCAAAAUUGCAAAGCUGUGGGUUAUGAGGUAGAGAUUGGUAAACACAAUAUUGGAGUUAUUUUGUUGUUCUUGAGUGUGCUUCGCAAAAGUCUAAUAUUUUCCUUUCAGAUCAUUACAUAGUUGUGAAAUUUAUAUAUAUCCAACUGUAGUCUGCAUUUCUAUUCUGCA